rnacentral:rRNA from 1 species
UACGAAGGGGGCUAGCGUUGCUCGGAAUCACUGGGCGUAAAGCGCACGUAGGCGGCUUUUUAAGUCAGGGGUGAAAUCCUGGAGCUCAACUCCAGAACUGCCUUUGAUACUGAGAAGCUUGAGUCCGGGAGAGGUGAGUGGAACUGCGAGUGUAGAGGUGAAAUUCGUAGAUAUUCGGAAGAACACCAGUGGCGAAGGCGACUCACUGGCCCGAUACUGACGCUGAGGCGCGAAAGCGUGGGGAGCAAACAGG